AUUGAACGCUGGCGGCAUGCCUAACACAUGCAAGUCGAACGGCAGCACAGCAGUAGCAAUACUGUGGGUGGCGAGUGGCGGACGGGUGAGGAAUACGUCGGAAUCUGCCCAGUCGUGGGGGAUAACUAGCCGAAAGGUUAGCUAAUACCGCAUACGACCGAGAGGUGAAAGCGGGGGACCGCAAGGCCUCGCGCGAUUGGAUGAGCCGACGUCGGAUUAGCUAGUUGGCGGGGUAAAGGCCCACCAAGGCGACGAUCCGUAGCUGGUCUGAGAGGAUGAUCAGCCACACUGGAACUGAGACACGGUCCAGACUCCUACGGGAGGCAGCAGUGGGGAAUAUUGGACAAUGGGCGCAAGCCUGAUCCAGCAAUGCCGCGUGUGUGAAGAAGGCCUUCGGGUUGUUAAAGGACACUUUUAUCUAGGAACGAAAAGGACGUUAGGAGUUAAUACUCUGACGUGCUGACGGUACC
rnacentral:rRNA from 1 species